rnacentral:tRNA from 1 species
GGUGGCACAGUGGUUAAGAGCUUGGCUGUUAACCAAAAGGUUGGUGGUUCCAAUCCACCAACCA